rnacentral:lncRNA from 1 species
CCACGAGCUUCGGGAACUGAACCCGCGGCCUCCUUAGCGCGGCCACGAAUUUCCCUGCUCGGCCUCAACCGCGCCCAGCUCAGCCGCGCAGCCGCUGCUUCUCUCAGAUCAGGGAAAUCACCUGGACAGUCUGCACCGAGCACCUGAGCGCGCAGCGUCCGGGAAAGCCGCAGUUUAACCUUCGCGUCUUCGUUGUCUGGGGGCGCAGAGGCCCAAGGCCUCCUGCCUCCCGCAGGGCCACACACAGCACCCCGUUUCCAGCACAUGCGCCAGACUCCGAGAGGACGCCUGUCCCCGUGGACGCUGCCUCUUCUUGUUCUCUGAGGCCUGAGCCCGGGACAGGGGGCGGUGACCGCGCCCCGCAGGCCCCGGGAUCGGCAUCAUCCUGCGGUAGCAGUUCGCGUCACGCCCGUCGCCUGCCUUGCUGCUGUGACUCCGGUUCGCUCACGUCAUGAGUGUAAGGGGCCGAGUGAAAGCGCCGCACACGUGCGUGUCCUCGGUCUGAAGCGGGCGCGUCCAGACUCGGACAGUGGCGCUGUCUGCGCGGUUCUUCGCCAGUGCCGCAGAUCGCAUGCUGCCGCGGGGCAGGUGCUGGCUUCCAGGGCUGCGCGCCAGUUGACUAAGAAGCUAAGCUCUGACCGAAUCAGUCGCUGCACUUGACGCCUCGGGGCCGCACACUCACUGGAACCACCAGGGAGGGAGCCAGGAGGACACAGGAGAGACCAGCCACGAGUGACCACGCGAGAGCUCGGAGCCGGUGCUCUAACAGAUGUCUCUGCACGGAAAGACGGUGUGAUGCCUCUUAAAUCGACACCCCCAGAUGCCACGGCAGUUUUCUGCCUGAAUGUUAAUACUUGCUGGUUUAUUAGGUAAAACUGGGCCAGAGACUUUGCUUCCAUUGUAACAUACUCUGCUGAGGGUGUGAGAAACCUGUUGCUCUCACCCUCUUCUAAGAGAAGCUAGAGAAAUCCACCAGAAAGAACUGGGCAAUUGUCAGUGAUCAUGUGGACCCAGGUCCUUCUGCAGCUGUGGUGUUGAGCCAAGGGAUUAACACGACAGACUGCAGCUGUAUCCCCUUCGAGACAAGGGGCCCCGUGUGGCCUCGGCGUUGGCUCUCUUUGUGGCAGAUUUGUUACACUGGCCCUGCAGCCGAGCUAUCAGCUCAGGGAGCACGCAAGGUUUCUGAGUGGGGAAUGACCGGCACCGUUCACUGUGUCUUUUAUCGGUUUUUAUUUUCUGUGCAAUGUGAUGCCAUGACAACGUGGAGCCUUUCAGACCUGG